rnacentral:Y_RNA from 1 species
GGCUGGUCCUGAGUUCAGCAGUGUUUACAACUGAUCACAACCAGUUAGAUUCCUUUGUUCCUUUUCCAUCCCCACUGCUUCACUUGACUAGCCUUUA